GACGAACGCUGGCGGCGUGCUUAACACAUGCAAGUCGAACGGAAAGGCCCCUUUGGGGGUACUCGAGUGGCGAACGGGUGAGUAACACGUGAGUAACCUGCCCUUGACUUCGGGAUAACUUCAGGAAACUGGGGCUAAUACCGGAUAGGAAUCCUUGCUGCAUGGUGGGGGUUGGAAAGCUUCGGCGGUUUUGGAUGGACUCGCGGCUUAUCAGCUUGUUGGUGGGGUAGUGGCUUACCAAGGCUUUGACGGGGAGCCGGCCGGAGGAGGCGACCGGCCACAUUGGGACUUAGAUACGGCCCAGACUCCUACGGGGGGCAGCAGGGGGGAAGAUUGCACAAUGGGCGGAAGCCUGAUGCAGCAACGCCGCGGGCGGGAGGACGGCCUUCGGGUUGGAAACCGCUUUCAGCAGGGGCGAAGCUUGUGGUGACGGUACCUGCAGAAGAAGCACCGGCUAACUACGUG
rnacentral:rRNA from 1 species